AUUGAACGCUGGAGGCAGGACUAACACAUGCAAGUCGAACGAGUGGCGGACGGGUGAGUAAUGUCUGGGAAACUGCCUGAUGGAGGGGGAUAACUACUGGAAACGGUAGCUAAUACCGCAUACUAUCGGAUGUGCCCAGAUGGGAUUAGCUAGUAGGUGGGGUAAAGGCUCACCUAGGCGACGAACCCUAGCUGGUCUGAGAGGAUGACCAGCAACACUGGAACUGAGACACAGUCCAGACUCCUACGGGAGUCAGCAGUGGUGAAUAUUGCACAAUGGGCGCAAGCCUGAUGCAGCCAUGCCGCGUGUAUGAAGAAGGCCUUCGGGUUGUAAAAUACUUUCGGCGGGGAGGCGUUACCCGCAGAAGAAGCACCAGCUAACUCCGUGCCAGCCGCCGCGGUAAUUC
rnacentral:rRNA from 1 species